rnacentral:tRNA from 2 species
GCCCACGUAGCUCAGCACGGAGAGAGCACUUGAUUACGGAUCAAGAGGCCGCUGGUUCGAAUCCAGUCGUGGGCACC